UGAAUAAAAAGAAUAUCAGGUGCUGGAUUUUUAUCCGGUUAAAAGGGAAGCAGGUGAGAAUCCUGCACGAUCUCGUCACUGUAUUUAAGGAGUACAAAGCAUUUUGUAUUUUUACAGCCACUGGGAAACUGGGAAGGCUGCUUUGUAUGUGGAAUUAUAAGCCAGGAAACCUGCCUGAUAUUGGUACGGGGAC
rnacentral:ncRNA from 17 species